CAUAGAUCAUGUCGAUCCCCUCAAGUCCAACCCAAUUAUAUGUAUAAUAUCGCAAACCGUGAACAAAUCAAUGCGCCGUUUUGUCAAAAACUUGGCCCAAAUUCUUCGCACAUCCAUCCACCUCAUUGAGCAAGAGGUUUCACCUCGGUAGGGAAGGAAUGGGCUGUGCCGGGUCAAUUAUCAUUCGUCGAGACUGAACGGCCGGCGAAGCUGUCAAAGAAUUCUUGAACCAUUCAGAUCUGUUACUCGAACGCACGCACCGGCACCGGCAGGGACGCCUCAAAACCCUUCAGAUAUGGAUGAUCGAUAUGUGCCGUCAUGAAGAACUGAAGGUGACGAAGACUACAUGGCCAGACUCCACUUCGAUCAAGCAGUGGUGGCUCGUGAUCGACUCAUCCGCAGUGCCGAAAAAGGGGACCCGCUCCCUGCUACUUCUGGUGGGCUGGAAAAUCUGGAUGGAAAGAAACAUCCGCACUUUCCAAAGGCGAGAGAGGUCAGUGGUAGACCUGUUAGCACCAAUUAAGACGGAGGCAAGGCUAUGAGAUGUUGCAGGUGCUAAACACAUUUUUACGCUUUUACCUCCUGAUGUAAUUAUAUAACUUAUUUAUACUCUCGCUGUGGGGCUUCUUGGCUCCCGC